GCUUGCACAAAGUUGGAUUUGGUUUACCACCUAGUGGCAGACGGGUGAGUAACACGUGGGUGACCUACCUUUAAGUUGGGAUAACAAUUGGAAACGAUUGCUAAUACCGAAUAAGUAUAUAACUGUCGAGGUUAUAUUGAAAGGAGCCUUUAAAGCUUUGCUAAAAGAUGGGCCUGCGGCGUAUUAACUAGUUGGUGAGGUAAUGGCUCACCAAGGUAACGAUGCGUAGCCGGACUGAGAGGUUGAACGGCCACACUGGGACUGAGAUACGGCCCAGACUCCUACGGGAGGCAGCAGUGGGGAAUAUUGGGCAAUGGGGGAAACCCUGACCCAGCAACGCCGCGUGAAGGAAGAAGGCCUUCGGGUUGUAAACUUCUUUUACCAGGGACGAAGAACGUGACGGUACCUGGAGAAAAAGCGACGGCUAACUACGUG
rnacentral:rRNA from 1 species